rnacentral:rRNA from 1 species
UCGAACGGGCGCUUCGGAGCUAGUGGCGGACGGGUGAGUAACACGUGGGAACGUGCCUUUAGGUUCGGAAUAAGCCCGGGAAACUGGGUCUAAUACCGAAUGUGCCCUUCGGGGGAAAGAUUUAUCGCCUUUAGAGCGGCCCGCGUCUGAUUAGCUAGCUGGUGGGGUAAUGGCCCACCAAGGCUACGAUCAGUAGCUGGUCUGAGAGGAUGACCAGCCACAUUGGGACUGAGACACGGCCCAAACUCCUACGGGAGGCAGCAGUGGGGAAUCUUGCGCAAUGGGCGAAAGCCUGACGCAGCCAUGCCGCGUGGAUGAUGAAGGUCUUAGGAUUGUAAAAUCCUUUCACCGGUGAAGAUAAUGACUGUAGCCGGAGAAGAAGCCCCGGCUAACUUCGUGCCAGCAGCCGCGGUAAUACGAAGGGGGCUAGCGUUG